AUUUCGAACCCCAACAUCAAUGCCCCUUUAAAAUGGGAAAUGUAUCCUCUUGUUGCUAGUUCAUCCUAUGCCAUUGAUCCUCUUCUCCUUUCUCUUUUGUUCCCUCUAUUUCCUUGUGCCAUCCAUCCUAUGUUGCUACUAUUCUGUCUCCGAACAGAGAAAAGAGAAGAUGAAGUCAUCACCAACUAGCUCCACUCACAACUCCACGGUGAUGAUGGCGUUGCUAUUCUUUUGUUUCCUUUGUCUCCAAGAAGAUGAAGCCAUUAAUGGACGAUCACAGCUCCACGGUGAUGAUGGCACUGCUCUACUGUGAUGAUGGACAUCAAUGAUGCCAACUCUCUCAAUAUGUUGGCCAAUGGCCAAGGGUAUUGUCAACGCCAACAACAAAACCGUGGAUGUUGAUUUCUUCAACCCUUUUGAGGAUGAUUUGGAUAACAUCAAUUGAACAAAAGAACUCUAAUAUUUGCCCUAAAGUUUUAUACACCCAUUGAACUGGUGAAACAAUUUCUAAAUUAAUGUUCUUUCUCCAGUUUUGAAUGUAUUAUGUUUGAUUAUUUUUCUUA